rnacentral:rRNA from 1 species
UAUCGGACAAUUGGCGAAAGCCUGAUCUAGCCAUGCCGCGUGUGUCAAGAAGGUGUUCGGUUUGUAAAGCACUUUAAGUUGGGAGUAAGUGUUGUACUGUAAUACUCUUCAAUUUUGACGUUUCUGACAUAAUAACCUCCUGCUUACUUCGUCCCAGCAGCCGCGGUAAUACGAAGGGUGCAAGCGUUAAUCGGAAUUACUGGGCGUAAAGCGCGGGUAGGUGGUUCGUUAAGAUGGAGGUGAAAGCCACGGACUCAGCCUGGGAACUGCAUCCAAAACUGGCGAGCUAGAGUACGGUAGAAGGUGGUGAAAUUUCCUGUGUAGCGGUGAAAUGCGUAAAUAUAGGAAGGAACAACAGUGGCGAAGGCGACCACCUGGACUGAUACUGACACUGAGGUGCGAAAGCGUGGGGAGCAAACAGG